AUUGAACGCUGGCGGCAGGCCUAACACAUGCAAGUCGAGCGGAUGAAGGGAGCUUGCUCCUGGAUUCAGCGGCGGACGGGUGAGUAAUGCCUAGGAAUCUGCCUGGUAGUGGGGGAUAACGUCCGGAAACGGGCGCUAAUACCGCAUACGUCCUGAGGGAGAAAGUGGGGGAUCUUCGGACCUCACGCUAUCAGAUGAGCCUAGGUCGGAUUAGCUAGUUGGUGGGGUAAAGGCCUACCAAGGCGACGAUCCGUAACUGGUCUGAGAGGAUGGUCAGUCACACUGGAACUGAGACACGGUCCAGACUCCUACGGGAGGCAGCAGUGGGGAAUAUUGGACAAUGGGCGAAAGCCUGAUCCAGCCAUGCCGCGUGUGUGAAGAAGGUCUUCAGAUUGUAAAGCACUUUAAGUUGGGAGGAAGGGCAGUAAGUUAAUACCUUGCUGUUUUGACGUUACCAACAGAAUAAGCACCGGCUAACUUCGUG
rnacentral:rRNA from 1 species